rnacentral:rRNA from 1 species
GUGAGGAAUAUUGGUCAAUGGGCGAGAGCCUGAACCAGCCAAGUAGCGUGCAGGAUGACGGCCCUAUGGGUUGUAAACUGCUUUUACACGGGGAUAAAGUGUGCGACGUGUCGUUCAUUGCAGGUACCGUGCGAAUAAGGACCGGCUAAUUCCGUGCCAGCAGCCGCGGUAAUACGGAAGGUCCGGGCGUUAUCCGGAUUUAUUGGGUUUAAAGGGAGCGUAGGCCGUCUGUUAAGCGUGUUGUGAAAUGUAGAUGCUCAACAUCUGAAUUGCAGCACGAACUGACCGACUUGAGUGCGCAGGAAGUAGGCGGAAUUCGUGGUGUAGCGGUGAAAUGCUUAGAUAUCACGAAGAACUCCGAUUGCGAAGGCAGCUUACUGUAGCGCCACUGACGCUGAAGCUCGAAAGUGCGGGUAUCGAACAGGAUUAGAUACCCGUGUAGUCC